CUACGGGUCGCUCCAGUGGGGAAUCUUGCACAAUGGAGGAAACUCUGAUGCAGCGAUGCCGCGUGAGUGAAGAAGGCCCUUGGGUUGUAAAGCUCUUUUGUCGGGAAAGAUAAUGACUGUACCCGAAGAAUAAGGUCCGGCUAACUUUGUGCCAGCAGCCGCGGUAAUACGAAGGGACCUAGCGUAAUUCGGAAUUACUGGGCGUAAAGCGCGCGUAGGCGGUUAAGUAAGUUAAUUGUGAAAGCCCAAAGCUCAACUUUGGAAUUGCAAUUAAAACUACUUAGCUAGAGUUUAUCAGAGGAAAGCGGAAUACAUAGUGUAGAGGUGAAGUUCGUAGAUAUUAUGUAGAACACCAGUUGCGAAGGCGGCUUUCUGGGAUAACACUGACGCUGAGGUGCGAAAGUAUGGGUAGCGAAGAGGAUUAGAUACCCUAGUAGUC
rnacentral:rRNA from 1 species